rnacentral:rRNA from 1 species
UACGUAGGUGGCAAGCGUUGUCCGGAAUUAUUGGGCGUAAAGCGCGCGCAGGCGGUCUCUUAAGUCUGAUGUGAAAUCUCGCGGCUCAACCGUGAGCGGUCAUUGGAAACUGGGAGACUUGAGUGCAGAAGAGAAGAGCGGAAUUCCACGUGUAGCGGUGAAAUGCGUAGAGAUGUGGAGGAACACCAGUGGCGAAGGCGGGUCUCUGGGCCGAUACUGACGCUGAGGAGCGAAAGCGUGGGGAGCGAACAGG